UGUGUCGAUCUCACUGAGGUUUCUGAAAGUGUGCAGUCACUGUGCUGAGAUCAGCUGAUUACCCACAAUCCCCUGGGGUCUGCUCACACGAGGCGUGAGGUGUGUCUGCCGCUGCAUUGUUUUAUCAAUGAAAGAUCAGAGUCUCGCACACUCUCAACUACAGCCAGCGCCGGCCCCGUCCAGCUCCAGCCGAAACCAGCUUCCAGACUCUCCAGAGCACUAGAGACAUGAAUCAUCUCUGAGCAGACACACAUCAGUCUCAGCAUCGUCCAGGAGAUCAGGAGGAGUGUGUGUCUUCAUCAGAGAAACGUCUGAAAUAACAUCUGAUUAAAACAUGAGCGUAAUCCACAGCACUCCAUCGGUCAGCAUCUGGAGAAGACAGAAGAUCAAACUAAUCCAGCAUGGAGAGGUUUUUAACUCAAGUUCUGUAGAGUCCAUAAUCCAUAAGAUCUCUUCUUCCAGUGAAAGUGUUCAGGUCUGAAUCAGGAGAGAAAUCAAGCUCUAAACAAACAUAAGGCUGAAUGAUGGCAGGAAAUGCAGAGGAGAUUUAUUAUGGCUUAUAGACAUGAGGGCAGUAACACCGUCCUGGUCUUCUGAUGAUUCCUGACACAAAGUCUUUGAGUCUGAGUACUUCCACGAGUGUGAAGUAUGAACACUUUUCCCCUGAUCUUGAGGUUCUGUUCAGGAGUGUGUUUGGUUCAUGCAGUGGAUAGACGUGUAAUGAGCAG